rnacentral:lncRNA from 1 species
AUGGGCCUCCUGCUCUCGAAGGAGCCGCGCCGCCGCCCGCGCCAGAAGCGGCCCCGCUGCGGCAGCUGGUGGCGCCGCCGCCGCCGGCCUCUCCUCAGGUGGCCCCGCGGGGCCCCGGCCAAGGCGGCGGCGGCGCCCCGGGGCCGGGACUGCCUCUUCCGCGGGCCCUGCAUGCUCUGCCUCGUCGUGCACGGCCCCGGCGCGCCCGCCCCCGCCGGCCCGGAGGAGGAGCCGCCGCUGUCGUCGCCGCGGCCGCUCGGGGCCUACGGCGCGGCCGCCUCCUCACAGCCCCCGGCGCGGCGCCGCGCGGGCCUGGCCGCUGAGGACGCCGCGCGCCGCCUUCUGCUCUCGGCCGCCGCCGCCGUCGCCGCGCCGCCCGCCCCCGGCCGCGGGGAGCUGGGGCCGGCCGCCGCCGCCGCCCGGGAGCGGCCGGCCCGGAGCCUCCUGUGGGCCCGCGCGGGGCCCGUGCGUCCGCCCGCGCCGCCCGCCGCCUCGCGGCUCUUCCGGGCGCCGCCGGCCGAGCCCCCCGCGCCCCCCGAGAUGGUGUGCAAGCGGAAGGGGGCCGGGGUCCCCGCCUGCACCCCCUGUAAGCAGCCCCGCUGCGGCGGGGGCGCCUGCGGCGGAGGCGGCGGCGGCGGCGGGCCUGCGGGCGGCGGCCCCGAGCAGCACCCCCCGCCGCCGCUCCGCGCCCCGCGCUCCCCCGCCGCUCCGGGAGGGGCCCCCGCGGAGGCCGGCGGGGACGCGGUCCGAGCGGGGGGCGCCGCCCCCUCGGUCGCCCGGCAGCAGCAGCACGAGUGCGGCGACGCCGACUGUCCGGAGGGCCCCGAUCCGCCGUGCGACUGCCACAGGGAGCCGCCCCCCGACGCCCCGGACAUCAACCAGCUGCCGCCCUCCAUCCUGCUUAAGAUAUUUUCCAAUUUAUCUCUGGAUGAACGUUGCCUUUCUGCAUCAUUGGUUUGCAAGUACUGGCGUGACCUUUGCUUAGAUUUCCAGUUUUGGAAGCAGCUGGAUCUUAGUAGUCGUCAGCAGGUCACUGAUGAAUUAUUGGAAAAAAUUGCAUCAAGAAGUCAAAAUAUAAUUGAAAUCAACAUUUCUGAUUGUCGCAGUAUGUCUGAUACUGGCGUAUGUGUUCUAGCAUUUAAAUGUCCUGGACUUCUUAGGUAUACAGCUUACAGGUGUAAACAGCUUUCUGACACCUCUAUUAUUGCAGUUGCCUCUCACUGUCCUUUACUUCAGAAAGUUCAUGUAGGCAACCAGGACAAACUGACUGAUGAAGGACUCAAACAGCUGGGGUCGAAAUGCAGAGAACUGAAAGAUAUCCAUUUCGGCCAGUGUUACAAGAUCUCAGAUGAAGGCAUGAUCGUCAUAGCUAAGGGCUGUCUGAAAUUACAGAGAAUAUACAUGCAGGAAAACAAACUACUAAGAAACCUUUCCAGCUUGGACCUACGUCAUAUCACUGAACUGGAUAAUGAAACCGUGAUGGAAAUUGUCAAGAGGUGCAAAAAUCUUAGCUCUCUCAAUCUCUGCCUGAACUGGAUUAUAAAUGACAGGUGUGUGGAGGUUAUCGCCAAGGAAGGACAGAACCUGAAAGAGCUGUAUUUGGUGUCCUGUAAAAUCACAGAUUACGCUCUGAUAGCCAUCGGGCGAUACAGCAUGACAAUAGAGACUGUGGACGUCGGCUGGUGCAAAGAGAUCACGGACCAAGGGGCCACCCUGAUUGCACAGAGCAGCAAGUCUUUAAGAUACUUGGGGCUGAUGAGAUGUGAUAAAGUCAACGAGGUGACGGUGGAGCAGCUGGUCCAGCAGUACCCGCACAUCACCUUCAGCACCGUCCUGCAGGACUGCAAGAGGACGCUGGAGAGGGCCUACCAGCUGGGCUGGACGCCCGGCGUGUCUGCCGCCUCCUCCUAGGGUGCGGAGCUGGGGCGGGUGGCCCCGGCCGAGGCGCGGCUGUGCUGUGUCCCUGCGUGUGCCCCCUGUGUGUGUCCGUGUCUCGUUUGCAUACUGCAUAGCGUCCACGCAGUUGCUAUUUGUUCCCAGGUGAGCUGGUCUUUUUUGUCUUAAAAAUGAAAGAUUUUGACAGGCACAGACCUUUCGUUUUUAAGUUCAAAGGUUUAUUUCUCUAAUUUUUUUUUUUUUUUUACUGUGGAAUCAAAAAAAAAAAAAGGAUCCAUUAUUUUGAGCUUCUAAUUUCUGCCAGUGGAGAUGCCCCCAAAUGAAGGCAAGUGCCUUCUUUUUUGAUGAGAAAGGAUUGUGCAGUUCUGCGGAUG